rnacentral:rRNA from 1 species
AGAGUUUGAUUCUGGCUCAGGAUGAACGCUGGCGGCGUGCUUAACACAUGCAAGUCGAACGGAGUUUUUAAACGGAAGUUUUCGGAUGGAAGUUUAGAAACUUAGUGGCGGACGGGUGAGUAACGCGUGGGUAACCUGCCUCAUACAGGGGGAUAACAGUUAGAAAUGACUGCUAACACCGCAUAAUAUAGCGAAACCGCAUGAUUUUGCUAUCAAAUAUUUAUAGGUAUGAGAUGGGCCCGCGUCUGAUUAGCUAGUUGGUGGGGUAAAAGCCUACCAAGGCGACGAUCAGUAGCCGGCUUGAGAGAGUGACCGGCCACAUUGGGACUGAGACACGGCCCAAACUCCUACGGGAGGCAGCAGUGGGGAAUAUUGGACAAUGGGGGAAACCCUGAUCCAGCGAACCGCCGCGUGAGUGAAGAAGUAUUUCGGUAUGUAAAGCUCUAUCAGCAGGGAAGAUAAUGACAGUACCUGACUAAGAAGCCCCGGCUAACUACGUGCCAGCCGCUGC